rnacentral:rRNA from 1 species
UUGGAGGGCAAGUCUGGUGCCCGCAGCCGCGGUAAUUCCAGCUCCAAUAGCGUAUAUUAAAGUUGUUGCAGUUAAAAAGCCCGUAGUUGAAUUUCGGGAUCAGAUUGUCGGUCGUGCCUCGGUACGCACUGGCAUUAUUGGUUCCUACCUUCUGAAGAACCGCGAUGUCAUUAAUUUGGUGUCGUGGGGAAUCAGGACUGUUACUUUGAAAAAAUUAGAGUGUUUAAAGCAGGCGCACGCUUGAAUACAUUAGCAUGGAAUAAUGAAAUAGGACGUUUGAUUCUAUUUUGUUGGUUUCUAGGAUCGACGUAAUGAUUAAUAGGGAUAGUUGGGGGCAUUAGUAUUCAAUUGUCAGAGGUGAAAUUCUUGGAUUUAUUGAAGACUAACUACUGCGAAAGCAUUUGCCAAGGAUGUUUUCAUUAAUCAAGAACGAAAGUUAGGGGAUCGAAGACGAUCAGAUACCGUCGUAGUCUUAACCAUAAACUAUGCCGACUAGGGAUCGGAUGAUGUUAAUUUUUUAAUGACUCAUUCGGCGCCUUACGGGAAAC